AUUGAACGCUGGCGGCAGGCCUAACACAUGCAAGUCGAGCGGAUGAAGGGAGCUUGCUCCUGGAUUCCGCGGCGGACGGGUGAGUAAUGCCUAGGAAUCUGCCUGGUAGUGGGGGAUAACGUCCGGAAACGGGCGCUAAUACCGCAUACGUCCUGAGGGAGAAAGUGGGGGAUCUUCGGACCUCACGCUAUCAGAUGAGCCUAGGUCGGAUUAGCUAGUUGGUGGGGUAAAGGCCUACCAAGGCGACGAUCCGUAACUGGUCUGAGAGGAUGAUCAGUCACACUAGAACUGAGACACGGUCCAGACUCCUACGGGAGGCAGCAGUGGGGAAUAUUGGACAAUGGGCGAAAGCCUGAUCCAGCCAUGCCGCGUGUGUGAAGAAGGUCUUCGGAUUGUAAAGCACUUUAAGUUGGGAGGAAGGGCAGUAAGUUAAUACCUUGCUGUUUUGACGUUACCAACAGAAUAAGCACCGGCUAACUUCGUG
rnacentral:rRNA from 1 species